GCGCAAGUCGUAUCGGUUUUAAAACGCGCAUCGAUGGGGAGUCGGGAAACGCGUAAAAACAAGUACCGCGCAAUAAUUCUUGUUAAUUAUAUCAAUUACCAUACAAUAACGCGAUGUUCUUUUACUGCUGUAUCGAUCCGAUUAUAAUACUUUGAUGAAGGGUGUAAAUUUUACGGGGAAAGGUCGCCUAGUCGAACUAUUAGAAAAGUGUAGUGAUUUAUGUGGGUGACAGAAAAGUGCAUUGCGGGAUUUGCCUAUCGUAUUCUUUAUUUCCUUAUUUACUUAGAACCGUCAGUCGAUAACAGCUCGUAUAUACGCGAAAUCGACGCGAGUUAUAUAUAGAGUUAAAUGCGUACAUACACAAACGUAUCGUCUAGCCUGCAAACAUCGGUUCAGUCAGUCAGUGGCAAGAAAAAAUGGCGGAUGUCGAGUUGAACGUCGACAACCUGAUACAAAGAUUGUUGGAAGUAUACCACACGCAGAAAGACCAGGUUCAGAAGAAAGCCAAGCUAAAAGAUAUUUUCUCGUCGGAUUUUGUCGUCAGAGGAUGCCGACCAGGAAAAACCGUUGUUAUGUCGGAGGGCGAAGUGCGCGGCCUUUGCCUGAAAUCGCGGGAGAUCUUUCUUCAGCAGCCGAUCCUGCUCGAACUGGAGGCGCCGCUUAAGAUAUGCGGCGACAUUCACGGCCAAUACACCGAUUUACUACGAUUGUUCGAAUACGGCGGUUUCCCGCCAGAAGCGAACUAUUUGUUUCUCGGUGACUACGUCGAUCGGGGCAAGCAAUCGUUGGAAACGAUAUGCUUGCUGCUCGCGUACAAAAUCAAAUACCCAGAAAACUUCUUCCUGUUGCGCGGUAAUCACGAGUGCGCAAGCAUAAACAGGAUAUACGGAUUCUACGACGAGUGCAAAAGACGGUACAACAUCAAACUAUGGAAGACGUUUACCGACUGCUUUAACUGUUUGCCGAUCGCUGCGAUCAUCGACGAGAAGAUAUUCUGUUGCCAUGGCGGGCUCAGUCCGGACCUUCAGAAUAUGGAACAAAUAAGAAGAAUUAUGCGCCCAACCGAUGUACCUGAUACUGGCCUUCUCUGUGACCUGCUGUGGUCGGAUCCGGACAAGGAGGUCCAGGGAUGGGGUGAAAAUGACAGAGGUGUAUCUUUCACCUUUGGUCCAGACGUGGUGUCGAAAUUUUUAAAUCGUCACGAUAUGGACUUGAUAUGCAGAGCGCAUCAAGUUGUUGAAGAUGGUUAUGAAUUCUUCGCGAAACGACAGCUGGUCACUUUGUUUUCUGCACCGAAUUAUUGCGGAGAAUUCGACAACGCCGGCGGAAUGAUGAGCGUCGAUGAAACGUUAAUGUGCAGUUUUCAGAUCUUGAAACCUUCCGAGAAGAAAGCUAAAUACCAGUACUUAAGCAUGAAUACAGGUCAAGCGACAAGACCAUCUACGCCACAAAGGAAUCCAGCCAAAAAGAAAUGACAGCCUUGUACUCAUCUUCUGACAUCAACGCCAUUAGCGGAUGCUCUUGUGUUAGAUCUCCAAAGUUCAAAGCUGGUGUACUGGAUGCAGGCUGAUUGGGACUCGAGGUUUCAUUUGGAAAUUUGGAAAAUUUAGAAGAUCAGACGAUGGUAAACUUGAAAAUUGACAGGUUGGAAAAUUAUAAAUUAGAAAAUUAGAAAAUUGACAAUUUGAAAAAAUUAGAAAAUUGGGAAAUGGGAAAAUUUGAAGAAUUGAAAGUUGGAAAUAGGCAAGGAAAAUGGGAAAAUUAGAAAAUUGAAAUCUAGAAAAUAGGAAAAUUGAAAAAUUGAAAGUUGGAAAAUAGGGAAAGUGGAAAAUUGAAAUCUAGAAAAUAGGAAAAUUGAAAAAUUGAAAGUUGGAAAAUAGGGAAAGUAGAGAAUUGAAAUCUGGAAAGUUGUGUUAAUAAUCUCGUAUCAGGUAUAUCAAGAAGGCAUAUCUUUCAAAGUGAUACCAGAGAUUGACAAAGUUGAAGAAGGAACUAAGUGACAAGCAAAGUCAAGUACUCACCGUGGAUGUCGAACAGUCGUUUGGUACUGAGCGGAGGGCUGAUAUGCCGAGAGAGCAAAGGCGAUCUGCUCGGAUACAGCCUGUCGAUGUCUGCCAAGCGGUUCAGAUGGUCGGUCCAAGCUUUCUCAGGGUCGAAUGGUCUCGCUGUAUCGUGAUAUAAAUGUGGCAAUGAAACAAAUAUUCGUGGCAAUGAAAGUUGUAUUCCUGCCGGUUUGUUUUGGCGAAUCAGUUAUUUCACUGCUCAAGGAUCGGCUACUUGAAAAUUGCAUUGUCAACACGAUGUCCGACACUUGAGAAGGUUAUCAACACCUGUUCUAAAUUUAUUGUAUUCUGUGUAUCUUUCAAAUCUUCUCUGGUUACAUUAUCUGAUUGAUGAACCCGGUAAUUGUCACAGCUCGUCAUUUUAUUUUAUUUAGAAUAAGGUACUUUUUGCAAUUUAAUUUGUUUUAUUUUCGCAAAUUCGUCAGAGCUUUAUCCUUGCAGGAAUACAAUGGAUUGCAUUAUGCAACCUUGAAAAUCUUGAAUUGUCAAGGUUGCAUUUAUUCAAUGAAAUUCGAGUUGUUAUAAAUUUAUAGACGCCUUUCAAUUAAAAAGGAGUUCUGAUUAUUCUGACGAUAAAUGAUUGAUUUUUCUUUUUUAACUUGAAAAACGUCUACAUGCAUAUAAAAUAUUCUAUAAGAAAAGAAAGAAAAGUAACAGGUCCACAUUGAAAAAACAUAUCACUAGUCUAUGAAGAGGCUCGAGAUUCUUCUUCUCCGUUUUGUCGUAUUUCAAUGAAUCGUUUUAUAUGUAUGCAACAAUCAAUCUAAAAUGAAUAAUCACGACACCUAAUUGUGAAAACCGUGCGUACCAUCGGUUUCUUUUCAUCCCGAAUCUGGCCGAAAUGUAUUAUCAUAUUUGCGAUCCAUUUUCUCUAUUUUAGUGUUUUAGCUAUAAGCGUCUAUCUCGCGAAUAGAACAUUUGUUUCUCUGUUAAUUAGCGCGUUUCUGUUAUGAUUCGAGGCUUCUGUUUCAUGCUGCAUUCAUGGAAAUCAUCAGUAAACAAGAAGUGUAAGAAAUUUUUAUACAAAGACAAGCAAAAUGAAGAUUAAAUGAAAUAAUGAAAAAGAGCAAGAUCUCCUAAAAUAAUUCAUGAAAUUUCUUACACUUUGUUCGAAACAUCCAUAAAAAAAAAUAGAUAAAGAAAUGUCAGAACAUGUAGUUGUUAAGAAAAGAUUCAACGAAGGUGAAACUAGUUGGAAGUGCAAAGUAUGUUAGCUUUUACAAGGGUUCUGUCCUUGUUUCGUGUGAUUUUGAAGCCGUGCGUGUUCCUCCUACUCGAUACAAUUUGCACGGUUCUUUCCUUCUAAAAGAGAAAAAGAACUUGGAACAAAAAUAAAAAAAAAAGAUAGUUCGCUCUCACAAAAAGAUAACACGACGUCACGUGAAAAAGUAUACUAACCUGGUGGGAGGAUAAAAAAUCGCCUGCGAAAAAUCACCCUCCCCGACGAGAGGGAAAAAGCUGCAUCGAAAUUUGACAAAAAAAGCUCGAGGACACUAUUAACCCGUUAACUGAGAUCUUUUUCCUUUCAAUAGUUUAUUUAAUAUAAUACGAGAUGUGGUAAUUAAUUUCCUUCAAUUAACGGGCCAGAUUUCUCUACUCUCCAUAAUUAAAAUAUAUUAAUUAUACGAGCGCAAAGGUCUGCUAAACUCGUCCACCAAGUGGCGAAUGUGAUGUAUUUUCCACGUCGCGAAAUUAAAGAACGCGCUUGUCCGUCAUUGCAACUUUCUGUUCAACAAAUAUGUAAUUGUCUCCUUAUUUCGUUAAUUAAGUUUUAAUAGAGUAAGGACAGAAUUACGGUUGCGUAAUCAGCGGUGGAUUAUUCAAGCUGGCAAGUUUGUAGGAAAGAGUAAGGGUGGAAAAAAAGAAACGUACAUGCCAUCUCCUGAAAAAGAUAGAAAUUUUUUGUUGGGUCUGGUUGUAAUUAAUUGCCCCUUGUUAGUCGGAAAAAUAAUACUCGGAUACGCGUGCGUUAUUAGAGCGUGUAUUACCAAUAUAGUGAUUAAUAUUGUUGAUUAUCUGUUUGCUCUACAUCGUCCUUGUAUCUUCCGCAAGCAUUAAUUAACUUGGUUGUUUAAUUAAGGCCAAUUUACAGAACAUGUAAUUCAACAAUUAAGAAAAAUAAAAAAAUCAUGUAAUAUUGAAAGGAGACAAGGAACGAUGUUGAAAAUUAGAACGCGAAAAGCGUCGAGAGAAAAUUUCCAGCUUUUUCAAGUUUGGCGGCCAUUGAAUUUCCUUCUAUAUUUCUUCAUUCUUUUUUCACGGCUAUAAACAUGGUAACUUCAUUCUUCUACUACAAUCAUUCUCAAGCUGUCACAUUGUCCUCGGUUGAAUUUUCUUUAUCAUAUCGCUUUUAUAAAAAUGAUUUUUCAUCCAUUUUCGAGUCGUCUGUGUUAAACUGCGACCUCCACCUCAGCUGCAAGAGUUAACGUCUUCUCAAGUUUCCUCGAGAUUGCAAAAAUUCUCAGAGAACGCAAAAACCAUUGUCGAUGACGAAGAAAAUUUACAGUGUUUGAAAAAUGAAAAUUCCUUGGAAAAAAUGUUCGUUCCCUUGAGCUAUCGAUUUUUAUUCCAAAAAUUUCUGUUACACAGUGUACAGCAGCUUUCUAGAUUGUAUUUCAUCCAGUUGUUUCAGCCACUGUUUCAUGAUGGCUUCGAGUGCUUCCUUUUUCAUGGUGAACCAUGGAAAGUCUCUCGACAGUUGUCUGAGCACAUUGAUUUAGAGAAAACAGGGACACGUAUGUGAGUUUUGUGUAUGUAUGAUUGUUUCUUGUGUUAAAAAUAAGCUUUGGAACGUUAGUGUGGAUGGCAAAGUUAUUGCGAAUAUGUAGAUAUUAUUGUGAAGUAAAAAUAUGAAAUACUGUUGGAAAUUCUUAUUUCAUUUUUGAAAAAAAAAAAGAAAAUUAAGAAAAUUUAAUUUGAUUUUGGGGAAGAUGUAUCUCAUACAUUUGUCUGAUGAAAUACAUACUGCCCAAAAUUAAAUAAUAAACGAAUUAAUAUUAAAUAAUAUUUCUAAAUUAAUUAAUUACUAUUUCUAAAUUAUUAAUUAAAAUUUGCUAGCUUAUAAUUUCGAGCAGUAUAUAAUAAAAAUUUCAAAGUAAUCGUGUAGCAUUUAGUGUCACAUGUUAAUUAGCUAUCACCAAUUAAUCUCCUAAUAUCACAAUUAAUAUCUUGAGCUUUUCACACUUCGUACCUUUGUAUACAUUCAAACAAAAUCAUUUCUAGAAUCUAUGAAAAAUAGAAAAACUACUACAUCUGGCAUUCUGAAGCUCAAGAUACCAAGACGAAUGACUAAUGAAUAAGGGGAUGUUAUUCGAAUAUUAGGGUGUGAUCCUUCCUUCGUAUGCAAUGACGAAGUCGCACUCGGCUCGUAAGCGUGUUUCGCUCUUUAAUCUGCCAGUUUCGUUCAAUUUGUCGUCGUCUAACGUCGCUCAUAUCGAUGAGGCGAUUGAGUAAAAGCCACUUGACGGGUUUAACGCCUGCAAAGAAAUUAGAAUCAGAGGCUGCAUGCGGUUUCUAUGUUCGUCGGGCUAUCUCAAGUGCAAUAACCAGCGACAGGAUGAUGAUGAUCUUUCAUUUCUUGACGAACGAAACGUUAGAUGAUCAGUGAUCGAUGAACGAUGAUCCAUGAUGGUUGAAUAUCGUCAGUCGUCUGAACGUAGAUCGGUCCCCAUUUUCAUCCAUCGUCACUUCCGUUGAGACACGUCCACCGAUGGUUUAACGUUUGAUGAAUUUAUAAAAAUAUAAUUAUCAUCUAAACAUGUUCACUGCCACAUUAGAAACAUCCAUGGCUAAUUUUCAAAUAUUCUAAUUUACUAUUUUAUCGUCGGUGGCAAUGAACGUGUUAAUUAAAUCAUAACUCCCAAUUAAUAAAUUAGAAAAAAAAUAA